GUGAAUGUGGCUCAGUGGUAGAGUGCUUGCCAAGCAUGCAUGAAGUCCUGGGUUCGAUUCCUCAGUAUCACA
rnacentral:tRNA from 1 species